rnacentral:lncRNA from 1 species
AGAAAAUAUCUUUUUCCUUCUAGCCAAAUACCAGAGAGGCAUCGCACAAUGGAAGUGCGCAGAAUGUCAACUUGUAUAACCCAGCUGGAGAAAAACAGCUCCAUCUCCAAAUGCCACCAGCACCAGCCAGUCACUGUCUCUGGGACCUUCUGAAAGAAAUACUCCACCGAGAACUGCUCAGAAACAGCCUCUGGCUUAUGCCUUUAUGCAUCCUGUGAUGACCAAGAAGCAGAGGAUUGACCAAGAGCCCAGUGGUAUCCAGCCAGCAGCUGGUGGCCGCUCUCCUUCUUUAUUGGACCUGCCUUCAGCAUCCUGCUCAAUUUUGAACCUGUCUCCAAGUGUCAGCUCCAUUUCCACCUCCACCUGUCAGCUACAAGAGAAAGGAGAAAAAGCAGAGGUCAGAGGAGCCCAGCAAAGCAAUUCAGGAGCGGUUGCGCUGCUGUUUACCGCCGACCCUAGAGGGACAGGGUGAUUCAUUUACUUGCUCUCAGGGAUUACAAGGAGCCAGAGUUAUUUGCUCCACUGCAGAGUGAUGGAGUCAGGCAAAAGGACAAGGAUUCCCUUGGAAAAAUCCUUCAGGAGGUGAGAUCGUGGAGCUUGUACCAGCACUUCUUCCAUCAUGAUAGUCUGCUGUUCAUAAUUUUACUACUUCCACACCUGUUUAAAUUAGAGACUUUUCCAAUGCCCCUUCGAGUUAAGUUCCACUGGGAUGUCUUUCUCAUGAGCUUUCAUAAAAUGCACACCCAUUGAAAGAUGCAGUAGAUCCU